UUGGUGGUAUAAUUUCACUUCAUUUUGUUUCUUGUUCUAAACACUAUGGCAAAGCGGCAGAGCGGCUUCAAAGUUUUCUUACUCGAUCAUCGUCGUACACCUCUGGCGAUUCCAUCACCUUCAUCAAAAGUUCAAGUUCUAUCUUAUUUCUCACAUCAGCUUUAACUGCUGCUGUUCCCCUAAUUCCAUACGAGCACAUGAGCAGACAUCGGGUUCCGAAGAUCAUCUUCAAGGACCGGCCAUGUACUUAUCACGCCUUCAUAUUAUCUGUCAUGUUCGCCUUCUCAGGUGCAUUUAGCACGUUGUUCGUCCACGACAAGCCCAAGAUGGAAAGGAUGUGCCGGUUUUAUUCCAUGAUAUCGAUGGCAUCCGCGGUUGCAUUACUGAUUUCUGCCCAUUUUUCACAAACUUCUUAGAAAUUAGAAGCGUCUACGAAUGAGGAUAAUGGUGAAGAAAUUUUAACAGUUUAUCGAAUGCAAGGGUUCAAGAAUUACAAUUUGUAAGGCUUUUGUCUGAACCCCCUCUAUUGAGCAUUGUUUUGCGGUCACUUCUUAUUCUCUACUGUGUAAAUCAAUAAAAAUUCUCUUUCUUUCUUUGCAA
rnacentral:lncRNA from 1 species